rnacentral:lncRNA from 10 species
GUCCUAUAUGAGGGUUUGAAGUUCCAUCACAUUCUUCAAUACAUGACAUUAUGUUCUUCAUCUUUGGACACGAAUAUAUUUGACUAAAAAUUUGACUAAAAAAUCAUCUGAAGAAAUAACUGCUAAAUAGUUUUAUUAUUUUUGUUCUGGAAUAGGCUUCUUGAAGAUAAAAUAAGAAAUUUAAAAAAUUUUUUUGAUCCUUCAUGUAAUACUUUGUAAAUCUUCAUAGUUAUUUAGAAGCAUCCAAAAUUUCCAAAUGGUAAAAAACGAAUAAGAAAAAUUUUUAGAGUCUCGAUCUUGUUGCCCA